AUCUUUGAUACAUUCCUCAAAGUCCACCGUCAUGUUGCGUCUCGUCGUCGUGUCUCACCCUCACGCUCUCACUUCCGCUGUCAUCUCCCGCGGUUACAACCGACGAUGCGGACGAUCUGCCCGCUGACCACACGUGUGAUGUGUGAUGUGUGCUGCGGACACUGCACUGCACCCACUGACAGCCGCCGAGCAGCAGCAGGAGGAGGAAGGAGAGGAAAAGGGAGAGGAAGAGGAGGGAGAAGGAGAGGAGAAUGAUGAUUAGGAUGACGUCGCUGAAGAGGCCUGGCGCCGACUAGUGGCGAACUGCGGGAGCUGGAUGUGGGAGCCAUGUUGGUGGGGACUCACCACUUCAGCAGCUUCCAGGCCAUCAACUCCGACACAGCUUCUAAAAACCCUGUGAAGACGCUGGACGUGGUCAGGAUAGAACCCGGGAGCAUUUCCACAGAAGAGCUGCUGGGAUAAACAUCAGUGGAGACAGAGGCAGAGACAGAGAGAGAGAGAACUAAAGGAAUGAGGAACUUUUCCACUACAUAAAUAAAGACCCACUCACAUAUUAA